GACGAAAAUGUUAAAAUUCAGUUGCUAUGACCUUUUGAAUUACUAUAAGUUGCAUCUACUAGCUUUAAGUUAUAAUUUAUUAUACAGUCUACCUACUAACUAUAUUUAGAUGCUCAAAUUUACAAGUUUGGACAAUCAUUUUCCAUAUAUGCAAUAAUCAAGUCAUUCAAAUAGGUCCAUUGUCAAUCAAUUUCAACUUGCACUUUAAAUGGCUAUACUAAAUUCUACAAAUAUUUAUAACACCUUAAAUCUCUUCAAUCACCCCACAUUUGUUGUAUUAUUUCAACCAUAUCAAAUUAUAUAUAUGCUCUUAAAUUUGGCAAUUUAAGGUUGAGUGAGUUCAAGGCACAAGAAGUGUACUUU
rnacentral:lncRNA from 1 species